AUUGAACGCUGGCGGCAGGCCUAACACAUGCAAGUCGAGCGGAUGAAGGGAGCUUGCUCCUGGAUUCAGCGGCGGACGGGUGAGUAAUGCCUAGGAAUCUGCCUGGUAGUGGGGGAUAACGUCCGGAAACGGGCGCUAAUACCGCAUACGUCCUGAGGGAGAAAGUGGGGGAUCUUCGGACCUCACGCUAUCAGAUGGGCCUAGGUCGGAUUAGCUAGUUGGUGGGGUAAAGGCCUACCAAGGCGACGAUCCGUAACUGGUCUGAGAGGAUGAUCAGUCACAACUGGAACUGAAACACGUCCCAACCCCCGCGGGGGGCCGGGAGUGGGAAUUUUUGAACAUGGGGCGAAAGCCUGACCCACCCAUGCCGCGUGGGUAAAAAGGUUUUUGGGUUUAAAAACCAUUUUAAGUGGGGAGAAAGGGAAAAAAUUUAAUACCUUCCUGUUUGGAGUUACCCAACAAAAAAAGCCCCGCCAAUUUUCGCC
rnacentral:rRNA from 1 species